GUCAAGAGUCAUUGAAGAAAAUAAAGAUGGACAUCAAUAUCUCACUGGGAGAUGGUUGUUAGGUUGAUUGAACAUGGAAACGGUCCAUUUACAACUCAGCAUCCUCUGUUACAGGUGUAGGAUCAUGAAGUGUGGAAUACAGAACAGGAUCAUGGAAGAAAAGGAAGCUGACCAUCUAGAGUUAGUGAUUAAGGUGAAGUUAAUUUGAUUCCUUUCAUGAAUUCUAUCUGUAGUGUUGCUUGCCUAUGUAAGAUCUGUGUCUCUUAUGCAAGUCUUAUUUCUGUUGUAUUGUUUUCUUUUCUGUGAAUAAUUUGAUUUAAAGCACCUUAAAGAGAGUUGUUCACAUCUUUCCUUUGUUUUGUAGGAUUAGUCUUAUUCUCUCUCUUCAGUUG
rnacentral:sRNA from 1 species